rnacentral:misc_RNA from 1 species
AGAAACUGCAAUGCACUUAAGUGCUUCCCAUUAGAACAUUUUUCCAGGUUAAAGACACUUAGUAUCAGUGGAUGUGCAAAUUUUGAAUCCCUUUCUGCUUCUGGAGGACCUUUGGGGGACUCGACACGUCUUAGCUCGUUAGUAAUAUCCAACUGCCCAAGUCUAUUAUCUUUUCCCGGAGGAGGAUUAGCAGCCCCAAAUUUGACAAAGCUUGAGCUAAAGGAUUGCUUAAAUUUGAAGUCCCUGCCAGAACUUAUGCACUCCCUCCUUCCUUCUCUUGUGGAUUUGAGGUUAUCUCAUUGUGCAGAACUUGUGUCCUUUCCACAAGGGGGUUUGCCUUCCAAGUUACAAUUGCUUUGGAUCCAUCACUGUAACAAACUCUUUGACAG